rnacentral:lncRNA from 1 species
GCAAUAAUGAAAAUCUUCUCUACGCGGUGUCCACUGCUAGAGCCACUAGCCGCUUAGGACUAUUGAGUGCUUGAAAUGUCUACUGUAUAACUUAUUUAGUAUUCCUAUAGUUAGAGGAAAAUCCAGUAUUCCAAAUGUAAUGAAUGGUGUACUAAAAACAGGUUAACAUUAGAUCUGCAAGUACGAAUGUCAGGAGGAGACACGAACAGCGGGCACCGUGACAGCCUCCUGUUGAACCACGGUGCGCUAUCAAAGUCAUGACAGUUGGUUUGUUUAUAUUCAUCAUAUAAGCAACAACGUUUCUAGGUUUUUCAACAUAGGAGAAUAGGUCUUCCGCUGGAAGUAAGAGUCAGCACAAACGCUGGACACCUAACAGACCCUCAGAAGGUCCACGCUUGUAGGACUUGAUUAAGUCACAGUUAUGGUACCCACUGGAUUGUGAGAGCUGGAAAUACGGGCUCCGAAGCCAGGCAGACUGAGCCUUGAAGCCAUGGCUUUAUCAUGAUGUGAGCUAAAGUACGGCUGAACACUUCUAAACUGCAGUCUUCCCAAAAAUAAAGAACAGAGGGGAAAAGCA